rnacentral:rRNA from 1 species
ACGGGUGAGUAAUGCCUAGGAAUCUGCCUGGUAGUGGGGGACAACGUCUCGAAAGGGACGCUAAUACCGCAUACGUCCUACGGGAGAAAGCAGGGGACCUUCGGGCCUUGCGCUAUCAGAUGAGCCUAGGUCGGAUUAGCUAGUUGGUGAGGUAAUGGCUCACCAAGGCGACGAUCCGUAACUGGUCUGAGAGGAUGAUCAGUCACACUGGAACUGAGACACGGUCCAGACUCCUACGGGAGGCAGCAGUGGGGAAUAUUGGACAAUGGGCGAAAGCCUGAUCCAGCCAUGCCGCGUGUGUGAAGAAGGUCUUCGGAUUGUAAAGCACUUUAAGUUGGGAGGAAGGGUUGUAGAUUAAUACUCUGCAAUUUUGACGUUACCGACAGAAUAAGCACCGGCUAACUCUGUGCCAGCAGCCGCGGUAAUACAGAGGGUGCAAGCGUUAAUCGGAAUUACUGGGCGUAAAGCGCGCGUAGGUGGUUUGUUAAGUUGGAUGUGAAAGCCCCGGGCUCAACCUGGGAACUGCAUUCAAAACUGACAAGCUAGAGUAUGGUAGAGGGUGGUGGAAUUUCCUGUGUAGCGGU